UACGUAGGGGGCAAGCGUUGUCCGGAAUCAUUGGGCGUAAAGAGCGUGUAGGCGGCCCGGUAAGUCCGCCGUGAAAGUCCAGGGCUCAACCCUGGAAUGCCGGUGGAAACUGCCGGGCUGGAGUCCGGAAGAGGCGAGUGGAAUUCCUGGUGUAGCGGUGAAAUGCGCAGAUAUCAGGAGGAACACCAAUGGCGAAGGCAGCUCGCUGGGACGUGACUGACGCUGAGACGCGAAAGCGUGGGGAGCAAACAGG
rnacentral:rRNA from 1 species